rnacentral:rRNA from 1 species
AAAUUGCUCGAUAUUUGCUAUCAAUGCUCUUUACCGAGUGUUGAUUCAAGCGAUCGAGACUUUUACCUUGAAAAAAUCAGAGUGCUCAAAGCAGGCGUCCAAAACCUCGAAAGAGGUGCCUAAAAACGGUAUGGUCAACCAUCUAUAUGAUGCGUACCACUACCUUAACUUGAAUGAUCUUGCAUGGAAUAAUGGAAUAGGACCUUGGUUCUAUUUUGUUGGUCUUAAGAAUCCAAGGUAAUGAUUAAGAGGGACAGACGGGGGCAUUUGUAUUGCGGCGCUAGAGGUGAAAUUCUUGGACCGUCGCAAGACAAACUACAGCGAAAGCAUUUGCCAAGAAUGUUUUCAUUAAUCAAGAACGAAAGUUAGAGGUUCGAAGGCGAUCAGAUACCGCCCUAGUUCUAACCAUAAACGAUGCCAACCAGCGAUCAUUCUGAGUAACUAAUUUCAUGACUCGAAUGGAAGCUUCCGGGAAACCAAAGUUUUUGGGUUCCGGGGGAAGUAUGGUUGCAAAGCUGAAACUUAAAGGAAUUGACGGAAGGGCACCACCAGGAGUGGAGCUUGCGGCUUAAUUUGACUCAACACGGGAAAACUCACCCGGCCCGGACACUGAGAGGAUUGACAGAUUGAGAGCUCUUUCUUGAUUCAGUGGGUGGUGGUGCAUGGCCGUUCUUAGUUGGUGGAGUGAUUUGUCUGGUUAAUUCCGAUAACGAACGAGACUCUAGCCUACUAAAUAGACUUGCAGUUUACACUGCAGUACUCCCCCUUAGUCAACCUGUGGGUGGUAGUAUCUCUUGAUGGUUUCGGCUGUUGAGGGCUCUGCUGCUAUUAGCCUACAGAAUUGGCUAGGGUAAGGAUGCUGUAGCACUGUAAGGACUUCUUAGAGGGACAAGCGGCGCUCGCAGCCGCACGAAACAGAGCAAUAACAGGUCUGUGAUGCCCUUAGAUGUCCGGGGCCGCACGCGUGCUACACUGAAGUGGUCAUCGUGCAUACUGUUUCCUGCUCCGAAAGGAGUGGGUAACCGCUUGAACCCAUUUCGUGAUGGGGAUUGGGCAUUGUAAUUAUUGCCCAUGAACGAGGAAUUCCCAGUAAGCGUGAGUCAUUAGCUUGCGUUGAUUACGUCCCUGCCCUUUGUACACACCGCCCGUCGCUACUACCGAUUGAAU